rnacentral:rRNA from 1 species
GACGAACGCUGGCGGCGUGCCUAAUACAUGCAAGUAGAACGCACAGUUUAUACCGUAGCUUGCUACACCAUAAACUGUGAGUUGCGAACGGGUGAGUAACGCGUAGGUAACCUGCCUGGUAGCGGGGGAUAACUAUUGGAAACGAUAGCUAAUACCGCAUAAUAUUAAUUAUUGCAUGAUAAUUGAUUGAAAGAUGCAAUUGCAUCACUACCAGAUGGACCUGCGUUGUAUUAGCUAGUAGGUGAGGUAACGGCUCACCUAGGCGACGAUACAUAGCCGACCUGAGAGGGUGAUCGGCCACACUGGGACUGAGACACGGCCCAGACUCCUACGGGAGGCAGCAGUAGGGAAUCUUCGGCAAUGGACGAAAGUCUGACCGAGCAACGCCGCGUGAGUGAAGAAGGUUUUCGGAUCGUAAAGCUCUGUUGUAAGAGAAGAGCGGGUGUGAGAGUGGAAAGUUCACACUGUGACGGUAUCUUACCAGAAAGGGACGGCUAACUACGUG